rnacentral:rRNA from 1 species
CCCCUACGGGGCGCAGCAGUGAGGAAUAUUGGUCAAUGGGCGCAGGCCUGAACCAGCCAAGUCGCGUGAGGGAAGACUGCCCUAUGGGUUGUAAACCUCUUUUAUAAGGGAAGAAUAAUGACUACGUGUAGUCAGAUGCCCGUACCUUAUGAAUAAGCAUCGGCUAACUCCGUGCCAGCAGCCGCGGUAAUACGGAGGAUGCGAGCGUUAUCCGGAUUUAUUGGGUUUAAAGGGUGCGCAGGCGGUCUGUUAAGUCAGCGGUCAAAGCCCGGGGCUCAACCCCGGCCCGCCGUUGAAACUGGCAG